rnacentral:rRNA from 1 species
UGGGGAAUAUUGGACAAUGGGCGCAAGCCUGAUCCAGCCAUGCCGCGUGGGUGAAGAAGGCCUUCGGGUUGUAAAGCCCUUUUGUCCGGGAAGAAAUCGUCUGGGCUAAUACCCCGGGCGGAUGACGGUACCGGAAGAAUAAGCACCGGCUAACUUCGUGCCAGCAGCCGCGGUAAUACGAAGGGUGCAAGCGUUACUCGGAAUUACUGGGCGUAAAGCGUGUGUAGGCGGUUCGUUAAGUCCGAUGUGAAAGCCCUGGGCUCAACCUGGGAACUGCAUUGGAAACUGGCGGGCUGGAGUGCGGUAGAGGGUGGCGGAAUUCCCGGUGUAGCAGUGAAAUGCGUAGAUAUCGGGAGGAACAUCCGUGGCGAAGGCGGCCACCUGGACCAGCACUGACGCUGAGGCACGAAAGCGUGGGGAGCAAACAGGAUUAGAUACC